rnacentral:lncRNA from 1 species
GAAUUUGGAAAGAGCACAACAAGUUUUCAUCAACACUCAUCAUAGCACCGGCAUUGUCAAACUCUCCACAGUAGUUGGGCGCUGAAAAAAUGGUGACAAGCUGCCUCUCAGCAAAGAAUUCAUAACCAUCUUCCACAACCUGCAAGAAAAAAAAGAAGAUGCAAAUCAAUAACCUCAGAGAAGCACAGCAGGACAAAGAAAACAGGGUUCCUUUACCUGAUGGGCACGACAGACAAGGUCCAAGUCAUGUUUUGACAAAAACUCAGAAACUUUAUCAGGACAAACAAAAGAAGAUGCAAAUCAAUAACCUCAGAGGAGAAGCAUAGCAGGACAAAGAAAACAGGGUUCCUUUACCUGAUGGGCACGACAGACAAGGUCCAAGUCAUGUUUUGACAAAAACUCAGAAACUUUAUCAGGGCCAAAGGUGUAUGAAACUCCUCUAUCGUUCAUCCCCCACCCCUUCACAUCUUUACCAGGAUCUGACCAAAGUAAAUCACAAAGCAAACCAGUAUCGGGUAUGGCAGUUGGACGUGGCAAGUUUCUUAUCUGAUCCAAGCUAGAAAGAUCAGGCGAGAGACCCCCAUGCAUCCAUAGUAUCUUCUCAUCAAUAAGUUAUGGCAGUUGGACGUGGUAAGUUUCUUAUCUGAUCCAAGCUAGAGAGAUCAGGCGAGAGACCCCCAUGCAUGCAUAGUAUCUUCUCAUCAAUAAGUGCUGCCACAGGAAGACAAUUGAAACAGUCUGUAAAGGAUUU